CCUGCACCUGCCGGCGACCGGCGCACGGGUGAGUAACACGUAUGGAACCUGCCCGCCACAGGGGGAUAACCCGGGGAAACCCGGCCUAAUACCCCAUGCCGCCCGGACCGGGCAUCCGGUCCGGGCGAAAGGAGGAAUCCGGUGGCGGCUGGGCAUGCGGCGCAUUAGCUAGUUGGCGGGGUAACGGCCCACCAAGGCGACGAUGCGUAGGGGUUCUGAGAGGAAGGUCCCCCACACUGGUACUGAGACACGGACCAGACUCCUACGGAAGGCAGCAG
rnacentral:rRNA from 1 species